rnacentral:rRNA from 1 species
GUUUCAGGGCAUUGCCUCAGUACGGCGAGUGAGCGGCAAAAGCUCAAAUUUUAAAGCUGGCAUCUUCGGUGUCCGCGUUGUAAUUUUGUGAGGCAUCUCCGGGUAGGGCGCCGGCCUAAGUUCCUUGGAACAGGACGUCAUAGAGGGUGAGAAUCCCGUGCUUGGCUGGCUGUCCCCGUCCAUGUGAGGUGUCUUCGACGAGUCGAGUUGUUUGGGAAUGCAGCUCAAAAUGGGUGGUAAAUUUCAUCUAAAGCUAAAUAUUGGUGGGAGACCGAUAGCGCACAAGUAGAGUGAUCGAAAGAUGAAAAGCACUUUGAAAAUAGAGUUAAAAAGUACGUGAAAUUGUUGAAAGGGAAGCGCUUGAGACCAGACUUCGGUAGGGGGUGAUCAGCUGUCCUUCUGGGCGGUGCACUUGCUCCCCUCCGGGCCAGCAUCGGUUGGGGCGGCGGGAUAAAGAUCACGGGAAUGUGGCUCCUUUCGGGGAGUGUUAUAGCCCGGGUGAAUGCCGCCAGCUCCGACCGAGGACCGCGCCUUCGGGCUAGGAUGCUUGGCAUAAUGGUCUUCAGCGACCCGUCUUGAACCACGGACCA